ACUAUACACAGCCAGGGAAGACACGCUUUACAGCACAGAUUUGCAGCUUUUAACCUGGAAGCUUCACAGCAAAGGCAAUUCGGCUUUACUUUGUUUCCCUUCGAAUCCCAAAGAAAGCAUUAUCUACUUUGUUACUAAACAGAGCAGGCAAUAUUUUAUAUUGCCAUAGUCAAUUAUGUGAGGCUGUGUAACCUUUUCCAGCUAUUACAGUCUUCAAAUCUUUCUGUGCUAAUGUUGCCAACAAUACAGAAGCAGCUUCAAAGCAUCUUUGCAGUGUUCGAAAGAGAAGACAGCUGGUACUGCUUAGAAACUAAGCUGCGAUGACCAGAUUUCUAAUUUAUAAAACUGGGGCAGCACACGUCAGGGGAACGUCGGCGGUGGUUUUGUGAAGGGCACAGAGGAAAGGCCACGUGAGAACAUAGCAAGUGGGCAGCCCUCUGCACGCCAGGAAGAAAGAACUCACCAGAAACCAGCCCUGCUAACACCUCAAUCUUGAACUUCUACCACCAAAUCUGGAGAAAAUAAAUGUGUCGUUUAAGCCA
rnacentral:lncRNA from 1 species